UCGAAAUAUAUUCCAGAUUAACCUUGCCUC
rnacentral:piRNA from 1 species